AGUGGGGUGCCUGAUAAAAAGGGUUGUUUUGAUAGAGCAAACCAUGCGUAUCCCGCCCCCAUUA
rnacentral:tRNA from 2 species